GGAAGUAAUUUACACACCACGUAUCUCGCAAACAAGAAUGGCGCAGGUAUUGGCAGUCCCAGGAGAUGUUAGACAUGGAUUCGUCUACAAAACCACAUUCCACCAUGAUUUUGGACGAAUUACUGCAAUAGCGUCGACAACAACGGGAAACAUUUUAUUGUGUGACUAUGAUAAAAAGAAUCUGCUUUUAGUUGAUCCUCUUGGAAAAUACCUAAAUAAGAUUAAUUUGGAAAGUGAACCAUUUGAUGUGGCAAUUACAAGUCAAAAUAUAGGAUAUGUUACCCUACCGAGCACCAGAACUGUAUUACGAAUAGAUCCAGACCGACUGGUUGUACUACAUAAGGCAGGAAACAACGAUCAAAGUACUACCGUGACUUGUGUGUCAGCAGUACCGAAUUCUGGAAGGGACACUGAAAAUAAGGAUCCAUGCUAUCUUGGCGUAAACAUGAAUAGUUCUUCGUUCGCAUAUCCAGUCAAAAACUAUAACAUAUGCUUCACACCCGAAACUGGAAAUGUAGCUUCCUAUGGAAAGGUAAUUGACCCUCGUGUUGUAAAGUUCCAUGCGUUUAAUGCUAGAACUUUUUUUUCUUGUAUCGGUGGUCAGAGUUAUAUCAAGAUUACAAAUCCAGAUUAUGGCCUACGUGAACAUAUUGUCAACAUUAAAACUAUGGUAAUGCCAACAGGUAUAUGCUCUGAUAACAAAGAACACAUUUAUAUAAGUGGACAGGCUUCAAACAACAUACACCGGUUGACACAACAUGGAAAUGUUUUAGAUAUACCAUUGGACAGUCGACAUGGCAUCAAACAACCAGUUGCUUUAUGUUUCACCAAAAACUAUGAUACAUUAUAUAUUGUCAAUCAAUGGGGAAAAUCUGUUUUGGUUUUUGAUGUGAUUUGAUAAAUAUGGAUUAAUGCGAGUUCUUUCAAUGCUAUUAAUUUGAGAUCGGUUAUAAUUUUGAUAUAGCAGUAUAGUUAUUUUUAUUAUAACAAAUAGUAAAUCCUGCAUCACAUGUAAACAAUACCUCGACAAACGCCCGACUGUGAAAUUGUUAGUUUUGGUUUUGUUUCAUAAUAUUUGAAUGUGAAAGGAUUUUUAAUUUUCGGAAUCUCGGUAAACUAGAACUUUUGUGAUACCUUAUUUUUGGAUGGGGUAUAUUCGAAUUUGUAUAACCCCAUCGCCUAUUGUGCUUGUACCAAAUCAUGCAAUUUAUACCUUUGUUUUACGUCGUAUUUAUUAGGAGACUCAAGUGUUGAGUCAACAAAUCCGUAUUAGCUAUAAUGGCUCUUUAACACUUUCACUGUUUAUAAACUAUUAAUUAAGUUAACCAGCAAUAUACUUGUAAAUGUCAUAUGCUUGAUAUUACUUUCAAUAUAUAAUAAUCAUUUAUAUAAUUAUAUAGAAUCUGGUUUGUUUAUCAUCAUAUUAAAUCUAUAUAACCUUU